rnacentral:rRNA from 1 species
GACAGAGGGUGCAAACGUUGUUCGGAAUUACUGGGCGUAAAGCGCGUGUAGGCUGCUCCGAAAGUCGGAUGUGAAAGCCCUGGGCUCAACCUAGGAAGUGCAUUCGAAACUUCGGAGCUUGAGCUCUGGAGAGGAAGGCGGAAUUCUCGGUGUAGAGGUGAAAUUCGUAGAUAUCGAGAGGAACACCGGUGGCGAAGGCGGCCUUCUGGACAGUGACUGACGCUGAGACGCGAAAGCGUGGGGAGCAAACAGG